rnacentral:rRNA from 1 species
ACGAAAGUCUGAUGGAGCAAUGCCGCGUGAGUGAAGAAGGGUUUCGGCUCGUAAAACUCUGUUGUUAAAGAAGAACACUCUUGAGAGUAACUGUUCAGGGGUUGACGGUAUUUAACCAGAAAGCCACGGCUAACUACGUGCCAGCAGCCGCGGUAAUACGUAGGUGGCGAGCGUUGUCCGGAUUUAUUGGGCGUAAAGCGAGCGCAGGCGGUUUCUUAAGUCUGAUGUGAAAGCCUUCGGCUUAACCGGAGAAGUGCAUCGGAAACUG